rnacentral:tRNA from 1 species
GGCCGCGUGGCCUAAUGGCAUGGCGUCAGAUUUCGGUUGCGUUCUCUGAAGAUUCCAGGUUCGAUCCCUGGCGCGGUCG